GAACGGGUGAGUAACACGUGGGUGAUCUGCCCUGCACUUUGGGAUAAGCCUGGGAAACUGGGUCUAAUACCGAAUAUGACCAUGCGCCUCCUGGUGUGUGGUGGAAAGCUUUUGCGGUGUGGGAUGGGCCCGCGGCCUAUCAGCUUGUUGGUGGGGUAAUGGCCUACCAAGGCGACGACGGGUAGCCGGCCUGAGAGGGUGACCGGCCACACUGGGACUGAGAUACGGCCCAGACUCCUACGGGAGGCAGCAGUGGGGAAUAUUGCACAAUGGGCGCAAGCCUGAUGCAGCGACGCCGCGUGAGGGAUGACGGCCUUCGGGUUGUAAACCUCUUUCAGCACAGACGAAGCGCAAGUGACGGUAUGUGCAGAAGAAGGACCGGCCAACUACGUGCCAGCAGCCGCGGUAAUACGUAGGGUCCGAGCGUUGUCCGGAAUUACUGGGCGUAAAGAGCUCGUAGGUGGUUUGUCGCGUUGUUCGUGAAAACUCACAGCUUAACUGUGGGCGUGCGGGCGAUACGGGCAGACUUGAGUACUGCAGGGGAGACUGGAAUUCCUGGUGUAGCGGUGGAAUGCGCAGAUAUCAGGAGGAACACCGGUGGCGAAGGCGGGUCUCUGGGCAGUAACUGACGCUGAGGAGCGAAAGCGUGGGGAGCGAACAGGAUUAGAUACCCUGGUAGUCCACGCCGUAAACGGUGGGUACUAGGUGUGGGUUUCCUUCCUUGGGAUCCGUGCCGUAGCUAACGCAUUAAGUACCCCGCCUGGGGAGUACGGCCGCAAGGCUAAAACUCAAAGAAAUUGACGGGGGCCCGCACAAGCGGCGGAGCAUGUGGAUUAAUUCGAUGNCACGCGAAGAACCUUACCUGGGUU
rnacentral:rRNA from 1 species